rnacentral:rRNA from 1 species
UACCAACCCGAUGCAAACUACGAAUACCGAAGAAUGUUAUCACGGGAGACACACGGCGGGUGCUAACGUCCGUCGUGAAGAGGGAAACAACCCAGACCGCCAGCUAAGGUCCCAAAGUCAUGGUUAAGUGGGAAACGAUGUGGGAAGGCACAGACAGCCAGGAUGUUGGCUUAGAAGCAGCCAUCAUUUAAAGAAAGCGUAAUAGCU